UAGUAUAACGAUUGCUGCCAAUGAAGCUAAAGACAAUGUAAGAUAUCUGUAUACAUUGGAUAAAUUUUUUGCUCUACUGGCCAAAGCUUCUCCUGUUACAGUGGUGGAACACAUACCCAGUUUAAUGAAUGCAGUCUGUAUGAUCUACUGUACAUCACCGCACUACAACACAUCAGAGUGCAUGACAUCUCUUCUUCUUAAAAUCACUAAUCAAAUGAUUAACAUGUGCAAGGCGUAUCUACGUGAAGGUGUUUCUAAAAUCUGGGAUCUGGACAGGUAGAACUAUUGGUAUAGCAAACACCCAUGCAUUAGAGCAAAUAUUAAGCAUGUAUUAAACCACAGAGGAGGGUAAAAAUGAACAUGACAUCUCAAGUUAGCAGCUGGAAAAGUGAUGAUUAAAACUAUCUCUUGAAAACUCAAUCAAGAUUAUGGUUACUGAGGUGAGAAGAAAGAGAUGCUACAAACUUCAUCAAUGCAUAGGUAGUCAAGAUGUAUGUAGUUGUGUAACCAACUCAAAGAAGACACUAAGGUAACAGGCUGGGAGACAAAAA